CCGGUCUAAAUCUGGCAGGUUGUCCUCACGGAGGGAGGGGGCUUUUUUCAGAGGAUCUGGCGCCCUGCGCUCCGGCGCUCCGUUGCUCAGUCAGUCAGGCAGCUGCUGUUCUGCACACAUACACACAAGAGACACACAGGUCUGAAUGGUGAAAGGAAGGUAAAAGCGGCUACAGAAUCGCCUUUUACAGCGGAAUGUUCACUCGAAGGGGUUAUGGAGACGUCAAGAAAUCUACACAGAAAGUUCUGGACCCAAAGAAGGAUGUUUUCACGCGUCUGAAGCAUCUGCGCGCGCUGUUAGAUAUUACUGACAGGAAUGAACUGAAGGCAUUUUUUGAAACCAACUGCUCACAGAUUUAUUUUAUCUUCUAUGAAAAUUUCAUUACACUGGAAAGUAACUUAAAGCAAAAAGGGAACAAAUCUCAACGGGAGGAGCUGGACUCCAUCCUCUUUAUUUUUGAAUUACUGAUUGUGUGUCAUUUUAAACACUUUUCUUUUAUAGGUUCUAUUCUCAAAAAACUUUUGCACACUGGAAACUCGUUCAAGAUCCGCUGUGAGGGCAUGCGUCUGUUCCUGCUCUGGCUGCAGGCUCUGCAGAGGAACUGUGCCGAAGAGCAGCUUCUCAUCUUCGCCUGUCUGAUCCCAGGAUUCCCUGCUGUACCCUCAUCCAGAGGACCCUGCACACUGGACACCAUCAUAUACAACCCCUUUUCCAACCCGCCUGAUGCCAAGAUUGUGCCAGAGGAGAUCAGCCCACUGGUGCCUGCGGUUCCUGGAGAGAAGGUGGCAGAAGACCACACCUGCUCUGUCCUCCAGAUUGUGCUCAAGGUCAUGGUUCUCCAGGCAUCCAGCUUGGACUGGAAAAACAAAGAGAGCCAAGACACAGGCUUCAGAUUUCUCUUUUCCCUGUUCAAGAAGUACUACCUGCCUCAACUCUUCCCCACUUUCACAAAACAAACCAACCUCUACAAGCCACAAUUAGAUCUUCCCAUUCACAGACCAAAGCCCCUCUACGUCCCUGUGACGCGUAACAGUGAGAGCACGUACUGCACUAGGGAUCAGUACCUGGCUCCCCGCGUGGCCUUCAUCACGUGGCUCGUUAACUUCUUCCUGGAGAAGAAGUAUGUGAACUCGGCCACGAGCAGCUCUAAGAACGGAGGAGAGGUCCUUCCUAAGAUCAUCCAGACUGUGACUGCGGGCGGGAUCAGUCAGGAGAAGAGCGCAGACUCUGAGCCCAACGGUCCUGUGGAACAGGAGAAGAAUCACUCCAACAGCAGCACGCUAUCAGACCGCCGGGGCAGCAACUCCAGUCUGUGUAGCAUCGAGGAGGAGCAUCGCACCGUCUACGACAUGGUGCAGUCCAUCCUGCUCUCCACACGAGACAACGUCAAUUUCGUCAAUGAGGUCUUCCAUCAGGCUUUCCUUCUGCCGGCCUGUGAAGCUUCAGCCACUCGCAAGGUGAUCAAAGUAUAUAGGAAGUGGAUUCUGCAGGAAAAACCUAAUUUCAUGGCUGAGCCUGAGACAACAAGCCAGGAGGAAGAUGGAGAGGAAGAGCACCUCAUCUCUGAGACGGACACUGCACACGUCUUGGAGACUCAUGGACACAAACGAUCAUCCAGUUGGGGGCGCACUUACUCCUUCAGCAGUGCCAUCAGCAGAGGCUGUCUGACUGAAGAACAGAACCAGGACACGAAGGCUGGCAUCCAGCCCACCCUGCAGGUGUUCCUGACAAACUCUGCCAACGUGUUCUUGUUGGAGCCGUGUCAGGAUGUGCCCAAGCUGCUGGAGAACCAGCUGGAGGUGUGCCGAGCUGUGCUCAGUGUCUACCGGCACAUUAUUAUGGAGCAAAACAUGAACCGCCCGACCUGGGAGCAGUUGUUGCAGGUGUUGUUGAGAAUCACAGAAGCAGUAAUGAAGAGACCACAGGAGGACCAAAAAAAAGACACGUUCGCCCACAGCCUGGCCAGCAUCCUCUUCAAAACGAUCUUCGUGGCGUGGGUGCGGGCCAACCUGACCGUGUUUAUCUCUCGUGAGCUGUGGGACGAGCUGCUGGCUGUGCUGUCCUCUCUCAGCCACUGGGAGGAGCUGGUGUUCGAGUGGGCCAGCAUCAUGGACUCUCUCACCGCAGUACUGGCCCGUCACGUCUACAGCCUGGACCUCCACAACCUACCGCUGGACAAGCUCUCAGAGCAGAAGGAAAAGAAGCAGCGGGGCAGGGGAGUGAUGCAGGACUCCCAGAAGUCUACAGAUGCAGCACGGUCGUUCUCCUUGAGCUGGAGGAGCUCUGGAGAUCAGGUGGGCACUCAGGAACCCAUGAGGUUCCGCAGUGCCACCACCACUGGAGCUCCCGCUGUGGAGAAAGCUCGCAACAACGUUAGGCAGAAAGCUUCAGUCAAUAUAACCUCUCUUCUGUCAGGUGAGAGUGUGAGCAGUGAGACGUCUAAUGGUUAUCUGAACGAUGCUGAGGUGGGUCUGCUGGCGUGGCACGCGGUCGAGGAGGAGCCGGACUCUCCCUCUACACAUGACAUGAGCAUGAGUGUUACUGUGGACACAGUGAGCCAGAGGAGCCUCCUGCUCAGCCACACUGAAGCACUGGCAGACAGCAGUGAGUUUCUGGCUGAUGACGUCAGCAUCAUCGCCGGCGGCAGUUUGACCGGUUGGCACGCCGACUCGGCCUUCGUUCUCUGGAGGAGGAUCUUGGGGAUUCUAGGUGAUGUGAACAGCAUCCGCUGUGCCCGCAUCCACGCCAAGGUCUUCAGUUACCUUUACGAGCUCUGGCACAAGCUGGCCAAGAUCAGAGAUAAUCUUGGGAUCAGAGUGGAGACAGACACAGCCGUGGCCAGACCCUUGUUCAUCCCUCCUCUGCGCAUGCUGGCCUCUUGGCUCUUCAAGGUAAUGCACAGACAUUUUCCAUCAGGAACGUUCUCUGACUACCUUGUGAACAUCCUUUUGAAGACCGCGCGCAAUGAGACAUGUGAAGGAGCCAGGUGUGUAGCAGUCUGCAGUCUGGGGCUGUGGGUGUGUGAGGAGCUGAGACAAACAGAAACUCACCAUCAGGUCAAAGAUGCCAUUAACGUCCUGGGUGUCACGCUGAAGGUGAUUACAUUUGAUCUUAUUGUUGGAAAGAUUAUCUGGAAUGCAGUUGAGUCAUUUGAAACAACUCAUUUUCAAAUGACAAUUUCCAUCUUGAGUGUUCUCGUUCCCUUUCUUUUGCCAAAAUUAAGCUUCAGGAGAGGAACAAGGUUUCCAUCUCUAAAAGCAUGUGCUGAACUGUUGGGAGUUUAUGUGCUGCACACUUGUGUAUCAGGGUCUAACCUGCACACUCAACAGAGCCACUACCUCCUCAGCCUUGCUGAUCUGUCGACAGACUAUGAACCCUUCCUUACUUUAGGCAAUGUCAAGAGCUUUGAACCACCACCCAUCCACAAUGUUAUGGGAGACUUUGGAAAUCUCCUCACAGUGGCUGAAGAAAAGAAAAGGAGAAGCCUAGAGCUGAUUCCUCUGACUGCUCGGAUGGUAAUGACACACCUGGUCAAUCAUUUGGGCCACCAUCCUCUCAGUGGCGGCCCCGCUCUCUUAAACAGCCUGGUCAGUGAGAACCACGACAACCCCUACGUAGAGUCCUCCGAGCUCUCCUCUGAAGUCUUCAAAAGCCCCAAUCUGCAGCUCUUCGUCUUCAGUGACAGCACACUAGUCUCAUACCUGCAGAUCCCCUCUGACAGUUCCAGCACGGCCAACCCGAGGGAUCAUUCUUCUGAGGUCCGCGUCAUCAUCAGGGACAUCUCGGGAAAGUACUCGUGGGACGGCGGUGUUCUGUUCCGCACUUUGGACGGAACUGGCUUGAGUUUGGGUGGCAGCAGAGAUCAGUCGUCUCACGACGGCGCUCGCUCUGAAAAGCAGGGCUCCAUGCGCUCCAGUAAAUGCUCCUCUGAGCUGGAAGUGGAAGAUGGCGUGGAUGUGUUGGACCAGCUUCUGGAAGACCUUGGCCACAGCAGCCCCGAGUGCCUGCCGCAGCCCCAGCUGAGGCUCACCCAGCCGCCCUCUCCACCCAUCGGCAUGAACCCUGAGAUGGAAGGGCUCAUCAUGGAUGCCAUCCACAGACAGGCCAAGCAGGAGGACGAGGAGCUGGCCCGGCUACAGACCGAAGACCCCAGCAUCAGAGCAGAGAGACAGAGAGAGCCCACGCACCACGAGCCUAAAUCUGCUUUUUACCUCUGCAGACUUCUCCUCAACGACCUCGGCAUGAACUCAUGGGAUCGCAGAAAAAGCUUUCAUCUUCUAAAGAAGAACUCUAAGCUCUUGAGAGAGCUGAAGAAUUUAGACUCGAGGCAGUGUCGAGAGACGCACAAGAUUGCCGUGUUCUACAUUGGAGAAGGCCAGGAGGACAAAUACUCCAUUCUGUCCAACACAGAGGGCAGUCAGGCCUAUGAGGACUUUGUCUCUGGGCUGGGAUGGGAGGUGAAUCUGGCCACUCACUGUGGGUUUAUGGGUGGUUUGCAGAGAAACGGCAGCACAGGUAGCACGGCACCAUAUUACGCUACCUCCAACGUGGAGGUCAUCUUCCAUGUGUCGACUCGCAUGCCUUCUGACUCAGAUGACUCCAUCACCAAAAAGCUUCGUCACUUGGGAAACGAUGAAGUGCACAUUGUGUGGUCGGAGCACACGCGGGAUUACAGACGAGGAAUCAUUCCCACCGACUUCGGAGAUGUCCUCAUCAUCAUCUACCCCAUGAAAAACCACAUGUUCUUUGUUCAGAUCUUGAAAAAAACCCAGGUUCCUUUCUUUGGGCCUCUGUUCGACGGGGCGAUAGUGACUGGAACGCUGUUGCCGAGUCUGGUGCGGGCCACAUGCAUCAAUGCCAGCAGGGCUGUGAAGUCUCGACUGCCACUAUACCAGAGUUUUUAUGAGGAGAGGGCUCUCUACCUGGAGGCCAUCAUUCAGAACCACAAGGAGAACAUGACCUUUGAGGACUUUGCUGCCCAGGUCUUCUCGCCUUCCCCCAGCUACUGGUGCACGGACCGCUCAGGCGCUUCAUUUUAA
ensembl:lncRNA ral GTPase-activating protein subunit alpha-2-like